rnacentral:rRNA from 1 species
CCUACGGGAGGCAGCAGUGGGGGAUAUUCCACAAUGGGGGAAACCCUGAUGCAGCAACGCCGCGUGAGUGAAGAAGUAUUUCGGUAUGUAAAGCUCUGUCAGCAGGGAAGAGCAUGACGGUACCUGACUAAGAAGCCCCGGCUAACUACGUGCCAGCAGCCGCGGUCAUACGUAGGGCGCGAGCGUUCUCCGGAAUUACUGGGUGGAAAGGGAUCGUAGACGGCUGGUCAAGUCUGAAGUGAAAGCCCGGGGCUUAACCCCGGAACGGCUUUAGAAACUGAGCAGCUAGAGUGCUGGAGAGGUAAGUGGAAUUCCUAGUGUAGCGGUGAAAUGCGUAGAUAUAAGGAGGAACACCAGUGGCGAAGGCGGCUUACUGGACAGUAACUGACGUUGAGGCUCGAAAGCGUGGGGAGCAAACAGGAUUAGAUACCCUGGUAGUC